rnacentral:rRNA from 1 species
ACGCUCGACACCUACGUGAGGCAGCAGUCGGGAAUAUUGCGCAAUGGAGGAAACUCUGACGCAGUGACGCCGCGUAUAGGAAGAAGGUUUUCGGAUUGUAAACUAUUGUCGUUAGGGAAGAGAAAGGACAGUACCUAAGGAGGAAGCUCCGGCUAACUACGUGCAGCAGCCGCGGUAAUCUGAGGCGGGCUGGCAAGGC